CUUCGCUUACAAAGCUAUGAGAUUGUGUGAAGAAGGGGGCAAUAGCUUCAUCCGUGGCCACCACUAGCCUGGCAGUGUUUACCUUCCCGGGUGUGUUUGGGUGCACCCUCAUGCUUCUGACCCAUGCCGACUUCUGAAACGUCAGUGGCAUUUUCGGGUCCAGCACGCACCAUCAGCACAUCCGGUGGAAUCUGUGCCUGGAAUCAACGGCGGCAGCAGCAAGUUACCACUCCGGGUCGGCUUUUGCAGGUGUGUCGCUACACCAGUGGUUCCAUCAUCUCGGCCAUCAGCAAUGGAAUCGAUUGGCAUCCAUCCAGCCUCUUCUGUUCAAGAAUCUGUCCCGGGAUCACUUCCAAAAGAGCCUUCCCGGGACAGCACACUCUGUACCUUCCUUCCUUAUCACCUUCCCCAGCAUAAAGCCUGUCGUGUUUCAAUGGGUUGAGUGCACGUGCACACAGUAAUAGUUCUGUCCGUUGGAGUCGGAGGGCAUCGAUCCCCCUACCUCCCGCACAUCAUCUGCGGCGCUCAGCAUCGCAUGCUAAGUGGGCGCUCUACCAUUUGAGCUACGACCCCUGCACAUCCUCACCUCUCUGCGCUCGAUGACGGGAUCGAACCGUCGACCUUACGGUUAACAGCCGUGCGCUCUACCGACUGAGCUAACCAGAGCAGGUCUGGCAGAUGGAUGUACGGCAGCAGCAAGCAUACGCGUUGCACGCCACAUGCCGUACUGUACGAGUGCUACGGCUGAAGCUGUGCACCGUGCCGUACGACAAAAGAACAGAAAAAAUGCGAUGCGAUUAGGUUGAUACAACCUACUGCAUACCAAGGCGCAGGUAAUGCGUCAGCAACCAGCUGCAAACAGGGCUCUAUCGAUGUAUUGGUCGGGUCCGUGCCGUCAGUGCACACCAGCAUAACACAUAAGAAAUGGGGACCUGCAAUUCAUUCAUGCAAAAAAUGUANNNNNNNNNNNNNNNNNNNNNNNNNNNNNNNNNNNNNNNNNNNNNNNNNNNNNNNNNNNNNNNNNNNNNNNNNNNNNNNNNNNNNNNNNNNNNNNNNNNNNUGCGGAAGUACGUCGGUGAAAUAUAAUGUGGUAGGACUGGAGAGAAUAGUGUAGCAGUAUAAUGUAUUGUGAGUGUAGCUGAAGCUUUCAUCGUGGGCGCGUCUCGUUGCAAGCUAAGCAACGCGUAUACAUGACGUGUAGCAUCAGUCCUCAGUUCACUUCUUGUAACGAACAUCAGCAUAGGUCCAAGCCCUCUCGCUUGGAGGGAUAUAUGCAAACAAACAUCCUGAUAGGUAAACUCGCAUGCUACCGAGCAUUCAACCGAGCACAUGCAUGCUUAGUUGAAUGGUGAGAUGCGACCCCCCUUCAUUUCGUGCUCGGCAAGCCUGCCACCGCGUACCGGAUAUGUUGGCGAUGUUACAGAGAUGCUGCACCUUGGUUUCUGUGCGCAAUGCAUACGAUGCUCGACCCCGCCGACCAAAACUACACGUGCCCAACUGAAGACACACCGGUGGUUGUGCAGCAGCUCUUGAGGCUUUGUUGGCUGAAAUCCAUCCUGAGACGCUGCACCUCGGUACCUGUGCGCAAUGCGUACGCUGCUCGCCCGCGCCGACCAAAACUACAUGUUCCCAUCUGAAGACAAUGCCUGUGGUUCUUAAACAGAAUUUGAGCUUGCUGCUGGCUCAAGUCCUUCCGUAGUAGCUGCAACACGGCUAACGCAGGCACGGCCGAAUGCGCUGCGAAAAGCUGUUCCAAGCCCUCAGCGGCAUCCAUUUUACUUGCUAGGUUCUGAACGACUUUCGCGAUUCUUCUCUUUACCUAAUUCUGCGUUGUUAUUAUUUAUUUCGUAAGAGUGUAACUUGAGUUUAGUCGGAACAAUGUGCAUUAUGCGCUGUGCUACCGAAAGCAGGCGCCUUAUGGCUGAUUCUUAGCCGACCGCUUCAUCUUCCGCGGCAGUUUCACGAGCCCAGAGUUGCAAGCUAGGACGUUGGCAUUCGGUGCUUUCAGUUACUGCAAAGCAUCCAGGCAAUAGUCCAGCAUGCAUGCCGCGUGCGGCUAUGGCCAACAUGCCCACUUGCGCAAGGCGCUGGCGCACGUGGUCCUCAUCCGCCAAGAAAAUUUAUAUACACUUGUACAGGCGCAUUUUGUGAAUCGCACGCGCGCAUCUGCGCGGCAAAAUUCGCUCCUGGAAUUUUUGGACGAUGUACGGAUGUUUUAUUCGCGAAGUACGACCGGACACAUUUGUGCGAGAGGCUGCUUAAAGAACAGAAAAAAUGCGAUGCGAUUAGUAUUGUAUUGUAUUGUGGUUACAGUAUUUCCGCCGCCGACGCGGCGGGUGCCCUCACGAGCCGUGAGGCUCCAGAGCACGCUGUUGACGCUCAUCAAAAACCUCAGUAAGGAAAGUAGCGAUUUUCCUCGGAUUGGUAUUAAGAAAUACCUUGCGCAUAUCAGUAUCUUCAACGUUAAUCAGAAACCUAUUACGCAACUCAGUAUACGCCUCACACUCCAUGAGCACAUGGUAUUCAUCCUCAACCUUACCCGACGUACAGACCUGACACGUACGGCACUCUCUCGGCCUAUGGUGUCCUUUGUUGACCUCCAAAGGCCAACAACAAAGACGGAAUUUGGCAACCAUACGCAACUGGUUGGCCGGCAAAUAAACACGCAAAUAGCCUGUGGGAUCGGAGCCCUCUCUUGCUGGUGAAGGGGAGCCCAUCCAGUUAUGAUACCUGCAAAGCGAAACCCCUUUACCUUGGAACACACGCGGAUCACCCCCUUGGCUGAACUGAUCCCAGUCACUUAAAAGGAACGCAGAUAACCUCUCCAGAACCUCACCCACUCGAAUCAACUGAGACGAGUAUACAUCUACCUUCUGAGAAACGGAGUCACACGCCGGCCACUCAUGGCCCAACCAACGCAAAAUGAUGAGCACUUUAGACGACCAGCAAUCCACUUUGAGAUCAGACAGAAGAGCCAGACGGAGAUCAUCUACUAACACGUCAUGAUAGACCGACCCACGGGACUUGACUAUCUUAUUCCAGAAACACAACGCAAGGCGUAACCAAAAGUACUGCAAAGGCAACUGAGACAGCUCCCUGUACAACAGCUUGUAAGGUACCUGCUUGAGCCCAGCACAACGUAAACAGAAGUCACGCUGGACCUGGACCAUACCAUCUUCCAAAGCCAAAUCAAAAUAUGACUUACCAGCGGGUAAAACACCUUUACCUAGCCGCAGGACGGAGACAAUCCUAUCAGGACCCCAGACCUCAGCACCAUAACAGAGAACCGAACGGACCUGGGUGUCGAACGCUUGAAGCCGAACGGCAGGAGCCCACACCCUGUUCUCAUCCAACCGAUUACUAAGACCGAACAUAGCCCGUCGCCCUGCUUCCAAAAGUUCGUUGACACAACUCGCAAACGGGGACAAACGGGGACAAACGGGGACAACCUACUGCAUACCAAGGCGCAGGUAAUGCGUCAGCAACCAGCUGCAAACAGGGCUCUAUCGAUGUAUUGGUCGGGUCCGUGCCGUCAGUGCACACCAGCAUAACACAUAAGAAAUGGGGACCUGCAAUUCAUUCAUGCAAAAAAUGUAAUAAUGUAGCUGGCCGCUCGUCGCUGGCCGCCGAUUGGAAUGCUGGAAUAAAAAAAUACCCUGUGUUAGUGCAUGUAUGCCUUGAGGGGGUAGUAGCCGGCCCAGGCCGAAAAGGCCUCUCGAGAUGCGAGGAACAUGUGCUCCAGUGCGUAUUUAUGUAUGUUUUCGCGGGAAGCCUUCGUUGCAAAAAGGAAACAUAUAUAGCUGGCAAGCAAUGAAAACAGGGCCGGGUGUGGGUGCACUCCCCCGAAGCGACAACUAGGCCUGCAGACCAACUGCUUCAGGGCGGUAGUACCCAAACACCCGAAGUAACCAGCACAACCACGCACGCAAGUCCAUGCAAAUCGUACAGCGGCACUCCCAAUUCACAGGAAACCUUAGUUUUCUCGACGCUUCGCUUACAAAGCUAUGAGAUUGUGUGAAGAAGGGGGCAAUAGCUUCAUCCGUGGCCACCACUAGCCUGGCAGUGUUUACCUUCCCGGGUGUGUUUGGGUGCACCCUCAUGCUUGCUUCUGACCCAUGCCGACUUCUGAAACGUCAGUGGCAUUUUCGGGUCCAGCACGCACCAUCAGCACAUCCGGUGGAAUCUGUGCCUGGAAUCAACGGCGGCAGCAGCAAGUUUCCACUCCGGGUCGGCUUUUGCAGGUGUGUCGCUACACCAGUGGUUCCAUCAUCUCGGCCAUCAGCAAUGGAAUCGAUUGGCAUCCAUCCAGCCUCUUCUGUUCAAGAAUCUGUCCCGGGAUCACUUCCAAAAGAGCCUUCCCGGGACAGCACACUCUGUACCUUCCUUCCUUAUCACCUUCCCCAGCAUAAAGCCUGUCGUGUUUCAAUGGGUUGAGUGCACGUGCACACAGUAAUAGUUCUGUCCGUUGGAGUCGGAGGGCAUCGAUCCCCCUACCUCCCGCACAUCAUCUGCGGCGCUCAGCAUCGCAUGCUAAGCGGGCGCUCUACCAUUUGAGCUACGACCCCUGCACAUCCUCACCUCUCUGCGCUCGAUGACGGGAUCGAACCGUCGACCUUACGGUUAACAGCCGUGCGCUCUACCGACUGAGCUAACCGAGCAGGUCUGGCAGAUGGAUGUACGGCAGCAGCAAGCAUACGCGUUGCACGCCACAUGCCGUACUGUACGAGUGCUACGGCUGAAGCUGUGCAC
rnacentral:lncRNA from 1 species